rfam:Salmo salar isolate Sally breed double haploid chromosome ssa14, whole genome shotgun sequence.
AAUGCACCAAUUUGUAAGUCGCUCUGGAUAAGAGCGUCUGCUAAAUGACUUGUA